CGGCUAGUGAAGCUGCUCCCCUAGCUGGAGGGGUGGAGGUCUCUGACGAGCUGCACUUUGGUGCCAGCAGUGAACUGCAAAGUGCGCCGGUUCCUUCGGCCUGGCAGGCGGGGGAGUUCCUCAAGUUCUGCCGCUUCUGCUGCUUCUGCUGCAAGAUCCACAUGUGGGGCUGGGGAGUCUGCUGCCAGCCGAAGAGAGCUGCUGGGAUCUGGCCUGCGCCCCCGGCCACCUAGGGGGGCGGGUGCCAUUGUAGCACCACCCG